AGUGAACGCUGGCGGUAGGCCUAACACAUGCAAGUCGAACGGCAGCACAGUAAGAGCUUGCUCUUACGGGUGGCGAGUGGCGGACGGGUGAGGAAUACAUCGGAAUCUACUUUUUCGUGGGGGAUAACGUAGGGAAACUUACGCUAAUACCGCAUACGACCUACGGGUGAAAGCAGGGGAUCUUCGGACCUUGCGCGAUUGAAUGAGCCGAUGUCGGAUUAGCUAGUUGGCGGGGUAAAGCCCACCAAGGCGACGAUCCGUAGCUGGUCUGAGAGGAUGAUCAGCCACACUGGAACUGAGACACGGUCCAGACUCCUACGGGAGGCAGCAGUGGGGAAUAUUGGACAAUGGGCGCAAGCCUGAUCCAGCCAUACCGCGUGGGUGAAGAAGGCCUUCGGGUUGUAAAGCCCUUUUGUUGGGAAAGAAAAACAGCAGGUUAAUACCCCGCUGUUCUGACGGUACCCAAAGAAUAAGCACCGGCUAACUUCGU
rnacentral:rRNA from 1 species